AGAGUUUGAUCCUGGCUCAGGACGAACGCUGGCGGCGUGCCUAACACAUGCAAGUCAAGGGGAAAGCCCUGCUUCGGCGGGGUAAGUAUACUGGCGGACGGGUGAGUAACGCGUAGGCAACCUGCCCUGGUGAGAGGGAUAACCCAGCGAAAGUUGGACUAAUACCUCAUAAAGCAUUUUAUUCGCAUGGAUAGAUUGUUAAAGUUUGCAACUUGUUGCAGAUGUAUCAGGAUGGGCCUGCGUUCCAUUAGUUAGUUGGUGAGGUAAUGGCUCACCAAGGCGACGAUGGAUAGCUGGUUUGAGAGAGUGAUCAGCCACACUGGGACUGAGAUACGGCCCAGACUCCUACGGGAGGCAGCAGUGAGGAAUAUUGCGCAAUGGGCGAAAGCCUGACGCAGCAACGCCGCGUGGGGGAUGAAGUUCUAUGGAGCGUAAACCCCUGUAAGUGGGGACGAAAGUUGUAUAAUUCAAUAGAUUAUAUGAUUGACGGUACCCGCAGAGUAAGCUCCGGCUAACUCCGUGCCAGCAGCCGCGGUAAUACGGGGGGAGCAAGCGUUGUCCGGAAUUACUGGGCGUAAAGGGCGUGUAGGCGGCUUGGUAAGUCAGAUGUAAAAGGUCCCGGCUUAACCGGGGAUGGUCAUUUGAAACUGCCAGGCUUGAGUUCGAGAGAGGGUAGCGGAAUUCCCAGUGUAGCGGUGAAAUGCGUAGAUAUUGGGAAGAACACCAGUAGCGAAGGCGGCUACCUGGCUCGCAACUGACGCUAAGGCGCGAAAGCGUGGGGAGCAAACAGGAUUAGAUACCCUGGUAGUCCACGCUGUAAACGAUGAGCACUAGGUGUUGGUUGGCCGCAGGCUAAUCAGUGCCGCAGUUAACGCAUUAAGUGCUCCGCCUGGGGAGUACGAUCGCAAGGUUGAAACUCAAAGGAAUUGACGGGGGCCCGCACAAGCGGUGGAGCAUGUGGUUUAAUUCGAU
rnacentral:rRNA from 1 species